rnacentral:rRNA from 1 species
ACUCAAAUGAAUUGACGGGGGCCCGCACAAGCGGCGGAGCAUGCGGAUUAAUUCGAUGCAACGCGAAGAACCUUACCAAGGCUUGACAUGUGCCAGUAACGGUCAGAGAUGGUCGCCCCCUUUUUGGGCUGGUGCACAGGUGGUGCAUGGUUGUCGUCAGCUCGUGUCGUGAGAUGUUGGGUUAAGUCCCGCAACGAGCGCAACCCUCGUUCGAUGUUGCCAGCACGCCGCUUGCGGUGGUGGGGACUCGUCGGAGACUGCCGGGGUCAACUCGGAGGAAGGUGGGGAUGACGUCAAAUCAUCAUGCCCCUUAUGUCUUGGGCUUCACGCAUGCUACAAUGGCCGGUACAAAGGGUUGCGAGACCGUGAGGUGGAGCGAAUCCCAAAAAACUGGUCUCAGUUCGGAUUGGGGUCUGCAACUCGACCCCAUGAAGUCGGAGUCGCUAGUAAUCGCAGAUCAGCAACGCUGCGGUGAAUACGUUCCCGGGCCUUGUACACACCGCCCGU